GGAAAACUGCCCCUGCACGUGUGCAGAUUAUGUUUACCACUUAGAACACAGCAGUCAGCGCCAUCUUAUAAUGGCAAAUGUGGGGGCGGCUUCCCACAGGAUAGCAUUUGAAAUGUAUAUAAAGAAAAUAUCUAAUAAAAAAUAAAUAAAAAAUGUGCAAAUUGUCUUCAAUCUGUGGGUUUACUGGGAGAAAACACGAGGUCUAUUUUUAAAUUAUGGUCUUCAUGAGGAAACUAACUCUAAACACUAGGUGUUUGCUAUUGUUAAGAAAUCCUUGUUAAUUCUUUCAGUUGUCAUAAUAUGUUGUGGUGGUAUUAGAAAGAUUCAUUAUACGUAGGUAGGAAUAUAAAUGUUUACAAUGAAAUAAUAUAGUAAUUGCAGUUUGACAAAGUAAUGUGCAGUGGAGAGAACCAGAUAGACACUAGGGGAGUGAAGGUGAGGAAAGGGACUGAGGAAAUUGCAGGAUGAACACGUGGGAUUGCCUGUGUCGCUCGCUGCAAAGGGUGGGUGCAUGGGGUUCAUGUGCCCCUCACUGUGUUAGGGAUGGGCACAUGGGGUUCAUGUGCCCCUCACUGUGUUAGGGAUGGGCACAUGGGGUUCAUGUGCCCCUCACUGUGUUAGGGAUGGGCGCAUGGGGUUCAUGUGCCCCUCACUGUGUUAGGGAUGGGCGCAUGGGGUUCAUGUGCCCCUCACUGUGUUAGGGAUGGGCGCAUGGGGUUCAUGUGCCCCUCACUGUGUUAGGGAUGGGCGCAUGGGGUUCAUGAUGCCCCUCACUGUGUUAGGGAUGGGUACAUGGGGUACAUGGGGUUCAUGUGCCCCUCACUGUGUUAGGGAUGGGUACAUGGGGUUCAUGUGCCCCUCAAUGUGAUUAGGGAUGGGGAUUCAUGGUGCUCUUUAUUGUGAGGGACGAAUAUGGGAUUUGCAGAGGCCCUUACAAUAAAGGAUGGGUAUGCUGUGCCCCUCACAAAUUUUGUGUAUAUUUGAGAUUUGAAAUAAAGUUUCACAGUGUUCUGGGAAUUAUCAAGAAAGGCCCAAACCCUACUAGGCCACUAGAAUAAUAAAAAUGGAAAAUGACUUUACAAAAGACCAAUACAUUCACCAAUCCCCUAAUAAUAUAGACAUCUUGUAUAAUAAAAAAAAUGAAGUGACUCAGUGGGAGAUUGGCGUGUUCACAUUGAUUUCUGGAUAGAAGAGUUGUUAAUGGUUUUUGCAGAUAACCAUUAGCAGACAUGAGGUUUAGAUUGUUUAAUACACGAGUUAAAUCUAGAUUCCUUCCAAUGAGCAUUUAAUUCUUGUACUAUUAACUCUCAUAUAUAUAAAAAAGCAAGAUACCUACAAUUAAGUUCCCAAAGAUAAGUUUGACAUUGACUCUAGUGAGGACACUCAAAACAAAAAAAUUCCAAAAAUGUAGAUUACAUAUUAUAUAUAAGCAUUAGGAAGUUAAAGUUAGCAAAGGAUUAAAAGCAUAAUAUGCUAAAUGCAAGUAGGUUUUUGUUUUUUUAAGUCUAAAAGAUAGCUUAAAAUUUGGAAAUCUUAAUAUAGAUUAUGUUAGAGCAUUAGAGAAAACAACUCCUACAUAAUUAGCAGAGAUUUUCCCCAUUUUUGGUGUUGCUGUACAUUUCAGGAAAGUGUAUUUUAGUUCAAGUUUCUCCCUCAUUUGUAGAUAAUUUCUGGAAUGAUCUAAAAAUUGCCUAGCUUGUCUCUAAAUAAGAUGAUUGCUAAGUCCGGUCAAGUCAGGUUCAAAUUAGUUGAAAAAGGGCUCAUUAUAUGGUACAGAGUAAUUAUAUGCUGUGUGAUGAUUAAAAUUGCUCUAAUGACUAAUGGAGUAGAUUUUAUGUCUUAUUAAAAUGCAAAUUAUCUUGGCAGAAAUGAUACAUUCUGCUUCAUUUACCAAUUCGCAGAGGAGACUUGUAGCAGAUGUGGAAAGCUUGGAAAAUAUAGUGGAUCAAAGACAGGGAGGAAAGCCGCUCAUCCCUAAGACCAAGGUAACUCAGUAACAUUGGCCUGGCGCUUUGGCUUAUGGUAAACCUAUGUCUGGGCUGUAGUCACUGGGCUGGUAGGAAAGAGAAUAGUAAACUCAGAGAGAUGGGGCAGAUGACAAAGUAGAUUAGCAUUCAAGAGUGUUUCCCAUGGUUCCAACCUUUGACAGGCACUUUAAUAAUGGUGAGUACUAGGACUGUUCACCAUUUAUAGAUAAGGACUGUGAAUUCCAGAGAAGUUAAAUCACUCACAUAAAAUGGCACAACCAAUACAAUGCUAUGCUCCAUAAUUAUUUUAACUUCCUAUGACUCUAAUGUUAUUUUUCCUGAAUAAUUAAAGGAAGAAUCUAUUCUACCAUUAUUUUUAAUAAUGAGAUAUUCCAUAAGCAUAUUUCACUAGCAUAAAACAUUUCUUUAAAUAAAUUACUAAAGGCUUCAGUGAGAUUUGACAGCAGAGAAUGCCUUUUUUUUUGUUAACUACAAGGAAGAAAAACCAUGUAUGUUUCUUAUUAAUUGUUACAUUAAUUAUAUGUUAUAUAUCAUGUUACAUUCAUAUAUAACAUAUUAAUUAUUUUACACAUAUAAAUUAAUUGUUACAUAUAUAAGAAUAAUUAUGUUAUGUGUAUGUAUAUGCGUAUUGAAUUAAAGAUUAAUUUAAGUAAACAAAGCAUGCUAUUAUUCAGCUUUCUGCCAAAAUGGAACUUGUGAGAAGAGCAACUUGAAGGAGAACAAACUUCUCUCACUUCAGCCCAGGUCCAACUGUCUGCAUUGCCUUUAGGCCUGUGACAAGACAGGAACAUCAGGGAAGAAGAACGUGGUGAAAGACUGCUUCCCACCUCAUGGCAGACAUGAAACAGAGAGAGAAGAAUCUACCAUCAAAAUACGCCCUUUAAAUACACGAUCACCGUGAUCUACUGCUGCGACUAAGUCCCACCAUCAGUAGCUCAUUCGGACUUGGAAUACUCCAUUCACCAAUGGAUUGGCCCCCUUAUGAUCCAACACUCUUUGGGUCAACAGCUGGGGUCAAGUUCCUAAAACACGAUGCCCUGUGAGACGUCCCUCAAUGUAUAACAUUACACCUUGGCUCUCGAAGGUUUAUCUCACAAUGUAAGCUUAAUUUAACCAACAUCACAGAGUCUUCAUAGUCUUAACUUUAGCAAUACUCAAACAUACAAGUCCAGACAAUCCUGUAUGUUUAAGGUAAUUCCUACCUAUGAAACUCCAAAAAUUUAAAAAAAGUAGGAAAGACCAGGAGAAUAGAAAAGAAAGAUUAGAUCAAAUUAAGACCAAAAUCAACCAGGAGAAACAUAAAUCCUAUAGUUUCAUAUCCUGUAUCCAGGGUACACCAUGAUGUGAUGUGAGCCCCAGAAGACUUAGAAAGCCCCACCCUUCCUACCUUGUUGGUUGCAGCUCACAUAUUUUGCAGUCCCAGUGGCUCUAACUUCGUGGAUCUCCACUGUCUCUGUGUGUGGUAGGGAUGUGCACAAGGAUAAGGUUGCCUGGAGAAGUUAGAGGCAUUGGAUCCCCAUGGAGCUAGUGGUUGGGAGCUGCCUGACAUGGGUUCUGGGAACUGGGCUUGGGUUGCCUGCAAAAGCAGUAUAGACUCUAAAUUGCUGAGGCAUCUCUCCAGCUCCAAAUAGUUAUACUUUUAAAAGAUGGUGUAAAAUGACCAGGUGUUCAAAAAGUUUUGCAUUCUACCAGCAAUUUGUUUCCUCAGAGUCUUCUUCAGGCUUUUUACUUAAAAUUUCCAUAAACAUUUUGUUAGCAAAAAGUGGUAAGCCUUUAUUCCUGCCUUUUAAGUGACUGCAUUUUGUUGGCACCCACGUUUUAAAAUCUUGUUACGGUCAGACUUGAGUGUUUUUUUUUAGCACUUCUGGAUUCCAGGUCAUGGUUGGAAAGCUUUCUCUACUUCAGUGAUCAAUAGAGAUUCUUCUGCUUUUAACUUGUAGUCUUCCAAUACUCAUUUUGUAGUGCCUGGUGUUUGAUUCCAAGAAUUUUAUCUCUGUGGACCUGAUUUUAUUGCUUUUUUGUAUUUAGAAGCCACGGCCAGUUCUGCUGCCAGGCUUAUUUAUUAAGGAUAGAUUGUUCCUGUGGAAGGAUCUGAGUACGGAACAGAUUGUACAUUCGCCUACUCUCUUUCUAGAUUGACAAAGGAAACAAGACCCAGAUAGCCUGAGCUACUUGUGUAGGAAUACAAAAACCAUAAAGAGCGCCUGAAGCACUGGUUCUCCACCUGUGGAUCACCUAAGUCCAUCAGAGAACACAGAUAUUUAUAUAGUGAUUCAUAACAAUAGCAAAAUCACACUUAUGAAUAGCAACCAAAUCAAUUUUAUGGUUUGGAGUCACAAUAUGAGGAACACGAUUAAAGGGUCACAGCAUUAGAAAGGCUGAGAACCACUGCCUUGGAGGUUGAACAUUGCUCUCAUUUCAAUCACUUACAAAGUUUUCUAUUAGAUAUUACAAUGCACUCUUUCAACAUAGCAAACAUGCCUGAGCAUCCUGGCUAAAAUGAAUGCCGAGUGAUGCAUAUAAAAUCCUGUUUAUAUAGUAGGGAAACUUAAAAUAGUGAAGGUUUUCCUACACAUUGGCAAGAUAUUUAUCCCUCAAGUCACAAUGAAUUUUACACUGUGAACAGUGAGAGACUCC
rnacentral:lncRNA from 1 species